ensembl:lncRNA
AGUGUGUGUGUUGCGAGUAGUGUGUGUGUGUGUGUUGCUAGUAGUGUGUGUGUUGUGAGUAGUGUGUGUGUGUGUGUUGUGAGUAGUGUGUGUGUGUGUGUUGCUAGUAGUGUGUGUGUUGCGAGUAGUGUGUGUGUUGUGAGUAGUGUGUGUGUGUUGUGUGUGUGUGCAUGGUUUAUCAGGUGAUGAGGCAGCUGAACUGAGUGAGAUUCCGAACAACCUGAUAAACGCCCCCUCCUCCUCUACCCAAACCCAAGCCCCACAGAUUUAAAUAGAAUAACGGCCAUUUUGGGCGUUCACUCGUCACAGUUCUGUGGUCAUCCUGUAACCCUGGCCUGAGAAGUGCACUCAGUGAUACGCUGUGAUGUUUGUGUUUUACGUGUUUGUGUUUACGUGUUUGUGUUUACGUGUUUGUGUUUACGUGUUUGUGCGCUUCUUCAGAGCUCAGCUCCGUUCCUGAGGAGGGCGUGCCCCCCACCCAGGCCAACGGCGAGGCCUACACUGCCUGGAGAAACCACAGCAACGCAGCUACGCAACACAGUGCCCUCCCAGAAGAGACGCAGGUGGGCAACGGAGCCCCUGUCGGAACCUCUGGGGCAAAUGGUGGCGGCGGCGGUGGUGGCGUCGGGGGCAGCAUGGAUCGCACAACUACCACCCAACACAAGCUUCACACCAUACCAAUGAUAGCUCUGCAUGACGAAGGGGAAUCAGGCAUGCGGUAUGCUCCUCCAGCCGUCUCAGUGGCCGCCGCCCCAGUUCAUAGCAAGCCCGCGGGCUCCUCACAACAACACUGGGCAAGAGCACAGCCCGAGCCGACGGCUAAUCGCACCGGCGAGGUUUUCCAGGAGCCUCCAGACUCGCUCCGAGUGUCAGAGAUCCGUUCUCAGCACACGUACGAAACAUUAUCCGACAUGGUAAAAGACCCGAGUCCGGAACUUUCCGAGAGCCCGGACGAACCGCUGGACGUGCCCUCCUACCAGUUUGUGACGCAGCUGGAACCCUACGCCACCUCGGCCCCCGACCUGACGGAACCCCAGCACACGUCAGCGCACAGCCCCGCCAUCGAGGUGGAGGAGAUCGCAGACCUGGAGACAAGCACACUAAGGCCUUGUACGCCAGGGUGAGCAGAAGAAUCAAGUGCCCCACGCCACCCCCCAUGCCCCCGCCUGAGGAUGACGAGGAGGAAGAGGAAGUGGCAGAAGUCGUACCACCGCUGCCAGACAGAGCCCCCGACACAGAUAACACCCUCCCCCAAGGGCUCUAGGCAACACUGUUGGAGCUUUAGAUGCAUCUACUCUUAUUUAUAUAUUCAAUAUGUAUUCUGUCUUUCCCAGCACAUCGUUUGUGGGUUAUGUAUUGUUUGCUACUUUAAAGAUAAAAUGAUUUUAAAAGCACUCUGCUCAAGCAGGAAAUGCACUUGAGGUUUUGCCAUAUCAACUCACAUUAGAGACAGACUGUCCACCAAUUCUGAACUCAAUGCUGUGGGAACAGACUACACUACAGAUAUUUAGGGUUAGGGGUUCAUGUCCUUUCCUAUUUUAUGUUCACAGUUGUAAACACCUAUUCUAGUAAAGGGAUUGACUAAACAAAUGCUUUAAAUUCAAAUGUAUUAUUAAAUGUGUUGAAUUGUUUAUUCAGAUGCAAGGUUAGAUUUCAAGUUUGAGGUGAGACUAGGCCUAUGCCACACACACACAACUCAUUGGAAAACUUCCAGAAUGUAUCAUUACAACAAGCGAAGGACUUUCAUCAAGCUAAAAGUGCAGCAGGUCAGCAAAUUAGAAUUCUUAAACUGUUGUGUACUUUGUCUGAAAACACUAGAGAAUAGAGCCCGUAUCAAACACACAGAACAUGUACAAUGUUUUAUCUUUAAAUAAGGAUGAUGAGGUUAGAUUAAAUAUUAACAUUUAAGAACAUAAUUUAAUGUAACAUAAAACAUGAGAAUUUGUGUAACAGAUGGGUUGUUUACACAACUGGGAUACUGUACUGUGUACACAGUGUGUGUGAUGCUCUAGUCAUCUAUUGACCAAUUUCUUAAUUUGAAGGGCAUCAUGUGUUCUCUUGGACUUGGUGACCUUUGACAUGAAUAAAAAGCAUAGCCUAGGUCGUGCGCGAUGGCAAACCCCCAACACACCCCACAGAAGCAUGACAGUGCCAAACCCUGCUGCUUGAGGUUGGGGAAGAGUGAGUAAGCAAUAAUACAUAAAGAUGACUUGCACAAAUAAGAAUAACUUUACAUAACACGGGUUCAUUUUCAUUUAGGUAGGUCGACAGCUAGUCCUAAAUAAGGGGACAUUUUUUUUUUUAAAUAAAUGCAACAUUACUUUUUGUUUUUACCAGAUAGACUUAAGCAAUUUAAAAGGUCGCAAUAAUCACCGCCAAAGACAAAAAGCUUUGGGUCUUUGUCAUGCUCGAUUAAAUUCCAUCAUUAACUUGCUGAAGUUGUCCCUUUAACAUAACGUUGAUAACAAUAGAUAACUCUGCAACCUUUGGCUAACUGUUUUAAGACACACUUUAACUGAAAUUGUCAUGUCAUGCACAAACCUCUCUGCAUCAAUGUAAAAAUAUUUUCACAGCAACUCAAAAAGUCUACAUUUCACUAACACAAGUAAGCAUUACAUCAUCUGUUCCCGAAAUCCAGUAGCGCCGGUAAACUCUAGCGCUCUCCCGUAAACUACUACCGCCGACGUGCUGAGAAGGAGCCGUUUAAACCACGUGCUCGGUGUCACGUAGGACACGCACAACAUGUACCAUGGCCGCCAGAGCACACGAGCGGGAUGCAUGGCACGCUACGUCAC